AGUAUACAAAAUCUGUAUAUAUAAAAUAUAUAUAUUUAUAUAUAUAUAAAAUAUAUAUUUAUAUAUAUAUAAAAUAAAAUACCUCUCCCAAGAUGCAGCAUGUGGAAAUCGUGUCGCAGUAAUGCUCACUGGGUAAGCUUUGCAUGUGUGUUGUGCCUCUGCAAGUCUCUUAAAGAAAUACCAUCACAACAUGAUUCUGAGAUGUUGGGGUUUUGUGUUUUGGUUUUUUUUUUUUGUAUAUUUUUGUAUUUUGUUCCUUCAUGAUACAAAACAGAUUUAAGGGCAAUGCCAAAGGUUGGAUAGUAUCAAACUAUGAAUUUGUUUUUGGAGAUGAACACACAUCUCUGUUACAUGAGUGCAUGUGUAGAGGAGGAGGUUAGGUUUUAAGGUGUAUCGUAAACUCCCUGAUAAAUUUGAAUGUGCUGCACUAAUUGUCUUGGUAUUUCCAGCAACUGUAGUUUGCAUUUAUUGCAUUGGAUUUGGAAUCCUAAGUUGGAAGCUGAGCUUCAUGAGAAGGGUAAUUUUGGAAGAUCAAAUGUAACAGAUCCCUUGGUGUUGAAGUCAGUCCAUACCCCAGCCAGUGCUGAGCGUGCAUUCCACCUCUGCUCAGCUGCGUCUGAAACAUUGCACUGCUGUCAGCACCGGGGAGCGUCAUCAAUCCCCAGGCUAAUUCAGAUUCCCAGUUAACUGGGGCACAGGAACUGAAUUAAGAAUAAACCUCGCUGUUAAGCAUUA